UUUUCUCUAAUUCGAUACAUGCAAGCUCUUAGCAAUACAGUGAGUAAAUUAAUCUGAUAACUGCCCUUAAAAGAUGCAGUUAUCAGUCAAGGUAUCAGAAAAUUCUCCCCAAUUUAACGACACCUAGCCACCCACACCUGCAGUACCUAACAUUAUACAAUAAGUAAAAACUUGAUAUAGUUAUAGACUUAAGAGUCGGUUAAUUAUGUGCCAGCCACCGCGGUUAUACAUAAGACUCAAGCCAAGAAACUUACCCGGUCUAAAGGUGACUAAAGAUAACCUCGUUUUAAGGUAGAAAAUAACUCUAGUAUUAAUAAGCUUUCACAGUAAACUAAUUACAAAUACAACGUUACCUUAAACCCCCAACUUAAAGCACCAAAGCUCAAAAAUAAACUGGGAUUAGAUACCCCACUAUAUGAGCCUUAAAAAUUCAAAAAAACACCAGAGAACUACGAAUUAAAGUUUAAAACUCAAAGGACUUGGCGGUUUUUUAGAUCUUCCUGGAGGAGCUUGCUAUCUAACCGAUAACCCACGAAAAACCUUA
rnacentral:rRNA from 1 species